rnacentral:rRNA from 1 species
AACGAGGUGCUUGCACCUCUGACGUUAGCGGCGGACGGGUGAGUAACACGUGGGUAACCUACCUAUAAGACUGGGAUAACUUCGGGAAACCGGAGCUAAUACCGGAUAAUAUCUUCCACCUCAUGGUGGAACAGUGAAAGACGGUUCUGCUGUCACUUAUAGAUGGACCCGCGGCGCAUUAGCUAGUUGGUGAGGUAACGGCUCACCAAGGCGACGAUGCGUAGCCGACCUGAGAGGGUGAUCGGCCACACUGGGACUGAGACACGGCCCAGACUCCUACGGGAGGCAGCAGUAGGGAAUCUUCCGCAAUGGACGAAAGUCUGACGGAGCAACGCCGCGUGAGUGAAGAAGGUUUUCGGAUCGUAAAACUCUGUUGUAAGGGAAGAACAAGUACGUUAGUAACUGAACGUACCUUGACGGUACCUUACCAGAAAGCCACGGCUAACUACGUGCCAGCAGCCGCGGUAAUACGUAGGUGGCAAGCGUUAUCCGGAAUUAUUGGGCGUAAAGCGCGCGUAGGCGGUCUCUUAAGUCUGAUGUGAAAGCCCCCGGCUCAACCGGGGAGGGUCAUUGGAAACUGGGAGACUUGAGUACAGAAGAGGAGAGUGGAAUUCCAUGUGUAGCGGUGAAAUGCGCAGAGAUAUGGAGGAACACCAGUGGCGAAGGCGGCUCUCUGGUCUGUAACUGACGCUGAGGUGCGAAAGCGUGGGGAUCAAACAGGAUUAGAUACCCUGGUAGUCCACGCCGUAAACGAUGAGUGCUAAGUGUUGGGGGGUUUCCGCCCCUCAGUGCUGCAGCUAACGCAUUAAGCACUCCGCCUGGGGAGUACGGUCGCAAGAC